CACAGAAGCAGCCGAGUUCUGAUGUCAUAAGCAGGAGACCUCGCUUCAGUGCUCAGAGGGUGAAGCUACCCACCGUGAUGCACAGCUGCAGCAACAGAAGAUGAAAAUGCCCGAGGUCCAAGAAGCAGAGGUGCAAUUGCCUAGCAUGGCACCACUGCCACAAGCAGCCUGGAACAUAGGAUGGGGAGUAACACCACCAGCAACACCCAGUGUGCACAUCUUGUAUGUCCUGUUAUCUUAUCCAGCAGGCUGGCCUCUGUCCCAGGGCAAGGAUCCACCCCUCUAGAUCCAGCUUUAGCAUCACAGAUGUAUGGAAUACACUCCUGAAUAAUCCUGACACACAAACAUAUGGGCUAAAUCCAGUAAGCAACUUCAGUCCUCACGUGAAUACACUUACAUAAUAAAACCUAAAAUCUGAAAGGUAUUUCAGUCGUGCUG